CACUAAAUGUCUGAAAGCAAGUAAUGGUCUCUUAAACCAUAAAUAAUAGUUUAGCCCCUAUUUUUAGUG
rnacentral:tRNA from 1 species